GAUGAACGCUGGCGGCGUGCCUAACACAUGCAAGUCGAGCGAUUCUCUUCGGAGAAGAGCGGCGGACGGGUGAGUAACGCGUGGGUAACCUGCCCUAUACACAUGGAUAACAUACCGAAAGGUAUGCUAAUACAGGAUAACAUAAGAGAUUCGCAUGGAUUUCUUAUCAAAGCCCCGGCGGUAUGGGAUGGACCCGCGUCUGAUUAGCUAGUUGGUAAGGUAACGGCUUACAAAGGCGACGAUCAGUAGCCGACCUGAGAGGGUGAUCGGCCACAUUGGAACUGAGACACGGUCCAAACUCCUACGGGAGGCAGCAGUGGGGAAUAUUGCACAAUGGGCGAAAGCCUGAUGCAGCAACGCCGCGUGAGUGAUGAAGGCCUUCGGGUCGUAAAACUCUGUCCUCAAGGAAGAUAAUGACGGUACUUGAGGAGGAAGCCCCGGCUAACUACGUGCCAGCAGCCGCCGUAAGAC
rnacentral:rRNA from 1 species